rnacentral:lncRNA from 10 species
UCUAUCUCACCAUCAAUGACAGUUCCAAAUAGCAUAACCCAGACUCAGUUCAGAAGCAAACUCUAAAAAUCCAUCCACCACUCCACCACCACAGUUAUGCGAUCAUCAAGGAUACAUAAUUACAAGACCUAAUUAUGGGCCACACAAUUGGCAUGAGACAGCAUGGCAUAAGGACAGGAACACAGGUUUUGGAAUCACAGAGUUCUAAUCCCAUCUCUGCCACUCACCUGUUAUAUGACCCCAGGACAUUUAUUUAACCUCACUGAGCCUCAGUUUACUUAACAGUAAAAUGAGGUAAUAAUAUAUACCUGUUCAUGGGAUCACUGUGAGGGUUAAAAGAAAUAAUAUACGUAAAAGCAUCUAGGGUUAUGAAAAAGUUCCAUAUGCAUAUAAUUCUGUUGCUAUCUCUCUGGGAUGUGCUGACUCUCACUCUCUGCCUUGUCUGGCAUACAGCAGGUAAUCAACAAAUGUCAAUUACCUUUCCUGCUCAUCUCCCCCUUCUCCAUUUCCUCUUCCUCCCCUAUCCCACACACAAAAACAGCUCAAUUUGUAGUGACAAUCUAGAUUCCAAACAAUAAAAACUAGACACUUCUCAGAUGGAGUUGGGUAUCCUCUGCCCAAAAUGCUGAAGCAAAAGGGCACUUACAGUGAGCAUUCCUAUUUAGGUUUCUCUUAACCAGGAAAGUUGACUCUAACUCCUUAUUUUAAACUUAAAACUGACUUUCAACUCCAGAUCCAGGUUGUCCCUCAAAGCUACAGCUGUAAUCCAGAGUCAAAAAUCACCUGACCCCUAUUGCCAAGGUUUCUGCUUCUGAUUUUGGCUGGGUAAAUAGGCUAUGUGUGUUGGGAGAGAGAGAAGAGAAAGCAAGAACUAACUUGUACUGAACAUCUCCUGUGCGCCAGAUGCUUUAAAUAUGCUCAUCUUUCAAACCACAAUGCAACAGGUAUCACUCUCUUCACAUUACAGACAACUGAGUUAGCAGACAGUAUUUUUUGAAUGACAAAGGGCCCUUAUGAAAACAGCUACAUUAUACUGUCAUUCAAAGAUAAACAGAAAAAACAAGCCAGAGUCAGAACAAUUUUUAAGUAAAUACGUUCAGAUAAAAAAGGACUUGAAAAACUUACCUCCUACAAACCACUUCUUAAGAAGUUACUCAAGCAUGUACUGCAGCAAAAUGAGGGAUAAACCAAAAAAAUAGGAAGACACGGGAAAAGGAAACAGCACUUCCAGCCAUGGAAAGAAGUUCCAGGAUGACAGCUCUGUAGUGGGCUUAGUGAAUAACCAGUUCAGAACGGCACAGAACGAGAAAGGAAUCUCGGCAUACAGCUUAGACAAAGAAGACUCGAUAGGUUAGACAAGAUUGAGAGCCUAGAAAACUUUUGAGAUCAUAAUAAUGGCAAAUAAUGCAUGAACACAUUAAAAGGCAAUCAGAAAUACUAGGGAAAAAAUUUAAGAAAGUCAUGGUCCAAAUAUGAAAAAACUAAAAGGUAACACAAAUUUAAACAACUGAUGAAGAGUGAGAAAACAAAAAAUCCCAUUUGACUUUGGGGCUAGAUAUCUCAUCCUUUGAUUGGCCCAGGAAUCCUAAAACCAGACCCACAGUGCAAGUCUAAAAUCCAAUCCUGACACACAAGGCAAUGAAUCAUUUCACAGAAUUGUAGUCAUGUAAAUGUUGCCUAUGGAUUUUCUUUUUUUUUUUUUUUUUUGAGAUGGAGUCUGGCUCUGUUGCCCAGGCUGGAGUGCAGUGGCGCGAUCUCGGCUCACUGCAAGCUCCGCCUCCGGGGUUCACACCAUUCUCCUGCCUCAGCCUCCUGAGUAGGACUACAGGCGCCCGCUGCCACGCCCGGCUAAUUUUUUUUUUUUUUUUUUUUUUUGUAUUUUUUAGUAGAGACGGGGUUUCACGGUGUUAGCCAGGAUGAUCUCCAUCUCCUGACCUCGUGAUCCGCCCGCCUCGGCCUCCCAAAGUGCUGGGAUUACAGGCAUGAGCCACUGCGCCCGGCCUUAUGGAUUUUCAACUUUAAGAAUCAUAUACGAAUAAGAUGGUCAACUUUGGGGCAAAGCACAAAUACAGGUUAUGGGUUCAGGGCUUUGGCAAUGUGGAAAGCAACAUUGUCAAAAAGUGAACAGUAGAACUGGUAGCAAUCCAAACAUUACUGACAUACAGCAUAAGGAAUCAAGAAAUACUAUCCAAAGUUGAAAAAGCCAGGUGUGGUGGCUCACACCUGUAAUCCUAGUGCUUUAGGAAGCCGGUGGGAGGAUUGCUUGAGGCCAGGAGUUUGAGACCAGCCUGGGCAGCAUAGGAAACCCUGUCUCUACAAAAAAGUUAAAUAAAUUAGCCAAAUAUGGUGGUGCAAACCUAUAGUCGUAGUUACUCAGGAAGCUGAGGUGGGAGGAUCACUUGAGCCCAGGAAUUUGAGGCUUCAGUGAGCUAUGAUUCCCACUGCACUCUAGCCUGGGUGACAGAGACAGACCCCAUCUCAAAAAAAAAAAAAAAAAAAAAAAAAAAAAAAAAAAAAAAAAAAAAAAGAUGAUUAUUUAAAAAAGGUGACCUAACAGACAAAUUUAAAAUAUUAUAAACAUCAAACCUGGGAGAGAAAAAAGAAAACUAGCUUAAAGAGCUACAUUCUCACUUUCAUAUCAGGUGCUAAAAGUUGAUAAAUCAAAACAUGGUGGUAAAAGCACAUUACUUAAGCUUAAGAAGGUAACAAUCUAAGAAUUAAAUAUGGGUACAGUUGAAAAAAAUUAAAAGUUGCCCUCUGUGAGCCUUGAGGAGGUGAAGGAAACCAUUGUUUUUCAACAAAUGUCCUCCUGUAUAUUGGAUUUGUUACCAAGUGCAUGGAUCACUUGGACAAAAAUAAUUUUCUGUCACACAUUUGAGAAAAGGCAAAACACUAAAAUUGUCACUAAAAAUGAGACGUGGCAGCCAAAUGUUAUAGUCUGAAUUGUAUUUAAGAGGAGGAUAAAAUCUUUUUUCUUAUAAAAUCACGUUACUCAAAUGAAAGAUUUUUACAAGAAUGUUUGCGAAAGAGUAAAGAUGGGAAAUUCUACUGAAGCUAGAUAACUUUCUUCUUUAUAAUUCCCCAUUUUCUGGUUUAUGUAUAGAAAGCAUGUAUUCUAUUUAUAAUCAGAGACCUUUUAAAAAUUUAAUGUGAUCAGUAUUCAGUCAGUGUGCCAGGUUGCCCAACACCCCAGCCUGAUUCAUGAGAUUGAGAGGACAGCAGGAAUAAUGAAUGAACACAGUGGUUUUCAGAGGCUAGGUGUUUUAACAUUCAAUCUGCUUCACUGUUACUCUAAUUUUUAAAAACUUUUUAUUUAGAGAUGGGGUGGGGGUGGUAGUGGCUGCAGGUGGGCACCACCAUGCCCUAGUCAUUGUUACUCUAAAGGAAUAUCUGAAUACCACAGGACACCUGAACACCACAGGAAAGCUGUGAAUGCUCAGGAAAGGUGCCUUCAGGAGGUUGCAGAAAGUGAUUACAUCAUAUACCUAGGAAUAAUCUUACCUGAGAAAAUGACAAAAGGCUUUUUUAAAGCUUCUUAGAUGUCCAGGCUCUGUUUCCCAUUAAGUUCAUUGUUUAGCUAAGGAAGUGACAUGGGGGAAAGGUGUCGGUGGGGAAAAAGGAAAACUGUUGCCUAAGUAGACAGCAACAGAUUAGAGGUCCAGUCCAGGGUCCACCAUUAAAUAACCACAUGACUUUCCCAAAUUCCUAUCAUCACCCUUCCGUGGCCUCAAUUUUCUAGUCAAAAACUAAACUAAACAAAAUUGACCCUUGUCAUUCUAAAAUCCUUUGAUUUCCAACUUAUAAAGCUCUCAACUCCCAACAGAGUCAAGAAAAAGAUUCUUCUUCUGGCUGGGCAUGGUAGCUCAUGCCUGUAAUCCAAGCACUUUGGGAGGCCAAGGCAGGAGAAUCACUUGAGUACAGGAGUUUGAGACUAGCCUAGGCAACAUAGUGAAACCCCAUCUCUACCCCAGCCAAAAAUAAAAAAAUUAAAAAAAAAAAUGUAUCUGCUAGCCUCAGCCCUAUUUCAUAGAUGGCAAGUAAAGUAAUAAACAGACAUAAUGAAAAGUAACUCCAAGUGAGUCACCAUCAUUUUUCAAGCUUCUACUUAAUCCACUGAAAUACACUGCCUUUUGAGGCUGUGUAACAAAGUGUAUGACAUUUACCUAAUUCCAACUUUAAACAAAACUCUACAAGAAAUUCAGAGAACUCUUGGCAGAUUGCUUAUCCUUAAAGACAAUAGUCACUGACAAAUUCUUAACCUCUCUUAGUCACUUGGCCAAAAUACUUCCAGGGAUAGCAUCAGAGCAGGCCAGCCUACUACUUACACAUUUUUUUCAGCUGUCAUUUUCAUUGACUACCCAAAGUGAAAUGAAGAUGCACUCUGCUUUGGAUUGGAGAGUGGUUGUGGUUGGGGGGAUGGGCAGAGAGAUCACAGCAACUUUCUCUAAAUCCAAGGCUAACUUCCACUUUUGCCCUUGUUCACAGGCAGUUCUGAGCUACUCCAAUCAUUCAAAACACAAUGUAUAAAGGAAUUUUUUUGUUUUGCUUUUGUUUCAGGGUCUUUUUCGUCUAGUUUUCCUCAGAUAUUAGGCAAGCCUAGCUCCUAUUUCAUAUUUUUAAUAAUCACAGUUAUACUGAUCAUAUACCAUACGUAUGUGUGUAUAUAUUCAUAAACACAGUUUAGAAAUCAUGUAGGGCUGGGGCCAGGCGUGGUGGCUCACACCUGUAAUUCCAGCACUUUGGGAGGCCGAGGCGGGCAGAUCACGAGGUCAGGAGAUAGAGACCAUCCUGGCUAACAUGUUGAAACCCCGUCUCUACUAAAAAAAAUACAAAAAAGUAGCCGGGCUUGGUGGCGGGUGCCUGUAGUCCCAGCUACUCGGGAGGCUGAGGCAGGAGAAUGGCGUGAACCCGGUAGGCGGAGCUUGCAGUGAGCCUAGAUCGCGCCACUGCACUCCAGCCUGGGCGACAGAGCGAGACUCCAUCUAAAAAAGAAAGAAAGAAAGAAAGAAAGAAAUCAUGUAGGGCUGGGCAUGGUGGCUCAAGCCUGUAAUCCCAGCACUUUAGGAGGCCGAGGCAGGCAGAUCACUUGAGGUCAGGAGUUCAAGACCAGCCUGGCCAACAUGGUGAAACCUCGUCUCUACUAAAAAUACAAAAAUUAGCCAGGCGUGGUGGUGGGUGCCUGUAAUCCCAGCUACUCAGGAGGCUGAGGCAGAAGAAUUGCUUGAACCCAGGGGGCGGAGGUUGCAGUGAGCCGAGAUUGUGCCACUGCACUCCAGCGUGGGCGACAGAGUGAGACUUUGUCUCAAAAACAAAAACAAACAACAAACAACAACAACAAAAGUCAUGUUAUUACAUCAUAUUCUUGACUCCACCAGCUACUUAGAAGUCAAAGGACUGAGCACAUGUCCAAACUAUCACUCAAUAACCCAGAGAAGACCAGCUGUGGCAUAAAUGACCAUCAAGUCUGUUUCAGAAUCUCAGCAUUACACCAAUCUCAGAAACAACAAAAGAACUCCUUGGACAAGAUAUCAACAGCCUUGAGAUGGGGAAGUAAUAAGAAUUGGUCACUGGUAUGAAUCAAUGGGCUCACUAUAGUAAACUUCAUCCAUCACUGUGUAUUCAUUCUUAGGGCUCUCUCAUAGCAAUCAGAGCAUCAAAUAUUAGUGCCAAAGAAAGGCUUGAUUAAACUUUUAAAAUUGUACAUAGUGUCUUCACUUUUGCACUAAGGCUACUCUACUAAAGAAAUAUGGGCUUUAAAAUGAAGUCUAAGUCAAGUUCUUAGGAGAGGAGUUUCCCUCACUGGCAGUGCAGGCAAUCCUGAAACAAGUGGUUAGGCUGGCACAACCUCCAUCUUUGAUAGCCUGACCCUAUGACCUCAAUGGAACAUUUCAAGUUCCAGCCUGGUUUCUCCUGAGGAAUGUAGUUAUCUUAGGGUACCACAAUUGAAACAACCUCCUCUAGUGUUUGAGAAUAUAUUUUCCUGUGGGGUGUAAUUUGAAAAUUUCAACUAAUGUAAAAUUCAUGACAUCAAAAAGCUGGAACAAUGUGAAAGGAAGAAGAGUGACAAAGCAGGCUUGUGAUUUGAUGGUAUUUUAGGUUAACAAGUUUAAUGUAAUAAAACUCCUAACAAUUUCCACACGAUUGAUUUGUCCAGCCCACAACUACUCCACCACACAGUUGCUAAUAACAUCACUGUGCUGUGUGGUCAUUAUGUCACCCAGCUGGGAGCACUAUGGCCUACCAACCACUGUUCACUUUUCCAGCUUGCUUUUCCCAAGAAGAUAGAAACUGCAGACCACCUACUUCACCAAAAGUCCCUCUGUUCCCCAAGCUUCACAGCUUUUCUCUGAUUUAUCUCGGUGUCACAUCCCAAAGGGCCUGGCUCUGGACUAUCUGACUUAGAGUGGCCAAGGAAGGGACUAAGGGUCUGUGCCCAAGAGUUGGCUUCAGUCCUGCAGAUUCAAGGCAAAGUCACCUGUGUGUUUUAUGGUGGAUGAACUUCACCACUGCUUCUGAUCCCUGCUUCUGAUCCCUUACAAUUCCAACACUCAGAGACUCACUCCCUGCUUCCAGCUCUCCAUAUCUGUGAAAUAACCGUGGAAGGACACGCACCAUCUCUCUCUUUCUCUCUCUCUCUCUCUCUCUCUCUCUCACACACACACACACACACACACGAACACACGCGCGCGUUGGGCACUGUGACUUGGUGCCUUCUUCGGCUCCAGGCUGACUUACUUGAGGAAGUACCUCUGGCCAGUGGCCGUGAAGGUCAUCUCCCAGCCCGGGGGCAGUGGCAGCUCGUCGGUCACGUCGUAGGACUGCUGGCGGAGGUGCGCGUGCUGCUGCGCGGGGCUACCCGCAGCACCCGCGCCGGUGCCCAGCUGCAGGGACGCGGGCGACGAGUGCGAGCGGACAUGCUGGGCACCCCCAGCCAGUCGAGGCCCCGGGUGGCCGCCCGACGAGUCGGUGCUGGACUGGCGCGAGUGCGAGCCCGAAUCAGGCUCCUUAAAGAAAGACUCCGGCAGGAUCUUCUUCCGCCACGAGCUAGGCUUCGGAUUCAUGACAGAGUUGAAGAGGGCUUCGAGGUCUGUGUCUAGGUCCUGCGUGACGUGGAUCACUUGCUGCCCAGGCGGCGGGAGCGGAGGGGGCGCCGAGGCCGGAUUCAUCUUCUGCAAAAAGAAGGAUGGCAAAGGAAAGGUCGCACGAUUCCAGGACAGGCAGCCCCCCGAAAGAAGUUCAGCCCGAGCCAACUCCACCACGUCUCGACUCCGGAAGCCCGAGGAGCCUGGAG